AGUGGCGGACGGGUGAGUAACACAUGGGUGACCUACCUUCAAGUGAGGGAUACCGGCGAGAAAUCGCCGACAAGCCCGCAUAGGCUCUUCUUCGUUGUGGGAGGGGAGCAAAGCCCGCAAGGGUGCUUGGGGAUGGGCCUGUGGCCGAUUAGCUAGCUGGUGGGGUAAGAGCCUACCAGGGCGACGAUCGGUAGCUGGUCUGAGAGGACGAACAGCCCCCCUGGGAUUGAGAACGGCCCAGACUCCUACGGGGGGCAGCAGCGAGGAAUUUUCGGCAAUGGGGGCAACCCUGACCGAGCAACGCCGCGUGCAGGAGGACGCUUUUCGGAGUGUAAACUGCUUUUCUGUGGGACGAGAUAAGGACGGUACCACAGGAAGAAGCCCCGGCUAACUACGUUUCCCCCCGCCGGGAAUACGUAGGGGACGAGCGUUGUCCGGAGUUACUGGGCGUAAAGGGCAUGCGGGCGGUGAGGCGCGUUUUCUGUGACAGCGGAGGGCUUAACUCUCCGAGCAUAGGAAA
rnacentral:rRNA from 1 species